rnacentral:lncRNA from 1 species
CCUCCUUUUAAGCUUUCAUUGUUUGAUGAGCGAGCCCUUCUUCGGAAAGUCUUACAUGUGCAUAAUGUUGAGAGUAUCGGGAACGACAAUGCUUGAUCUUCAUUCUUGCUAGAUUGAGCACUCUAUUGUCUAGCUAUAGGUGGGGGGUGAGAGUUGUGAUUAUGAUUUGGGAGCAAUGAAAAAGGAAAAGAAAUAACUAUUUGUGUUUAAGUGAAUUGUCUUACUGGGAUAAGUAAAAACAAAAAAAAACCUCUAGCUCAAGUUAUGAAAAGUCUUGGCCCCCAUUUAAAAAAAAAAAAAAAAAAAAAAAAAAA